rnacentral:rRNA from 1 species
UACGGAGGGUGCGAGCGUUGUCCGGAAUCACUGGGCGUAAAGGGCGCGUAGGCGGCGGCGUAAGUUGGAAGUGAAAUCCCAUCGGCUCAACCGUGGAAUUGCUCCCAGUACUGCGUCGCUCGAGGGGGAUAGGGGUCUGCGGAACUACCGGUGGAGCGGUGAAAUGUGUUGAUAUCGGUGGGAACGCCAGUGGCGAAAGCGGCAGACUUGACCCUUCCUGACGCUGAGGCGCGAAAGCUAGGGGAGCAAACGGG